rnacentral:lncRNA from 1 species
GCAAUGUGGGAAGGGUGCCAUCCGCUAUUGCUUGCAAUGGCAAAUUUAGUUAUUAUUAUGUCACCCGAUCGACAAUGUCGGGUGACAUAUUGCUAUUCCUCUGUUUCUUUUUCACUAUUAUUAUUAUUAUUAUUAUUAUUAUUCUUCCACCUAGUUUUGUCCGGCAGUUUUCUCAGAGCCAAAGGAACCAAUCUGAAUGAUGGUGCACUAUAACAAGGAACCCUGACUUUCCAGUUGCAGUGCAACUUUGGAACUAAAAAAUGGCUGCCAUCACCAUGGAAACCGAAAAAUAAUGGAAAAUUCCAGUUUUUGGUUUUGA